rnacentral:rRNA from 1 species
AGAAUCAACGCUGGCGGCGUGCCUAACACAUGCAAGUCGAACGCGAAAGGGGAGCAAUCCCUGAGUAGAGUGGCAAACGGGUGAGUAACACGUGGGUGACCUGCCUUCGAGUGGGGGAUAACGUCCCGAAAGGGACGCUAAUACCGCAUGAUAUCCUGCUCUUGGAUGAGUGGAGAUCAAAGCUGGGGAUCGCAAGACCUGGCGCUUGAAGAGGGGCCCGCGCCUGAUUAGCUAGUUGGUGGGGUAACGGCCUACCAAGGCAACGAUCAGUA